AUGCACCGGAUCAACUCCAAGAUGGCGCACAAGUUGUACCAGCUGGGGCAGCAGCUGUCGUUGCGGUGGACGACCGGCGUCGGGCCGCGGAUCGGGUGCGUGCGCGACUACCCGCCGGAGCUGCAGUUCCGGUUGCUGGAGGAUUCGGGCUUUGAAAUUGUGCCAAGUACAUAUGCGUUCGGUGGAGGAUUCGGGCUUUGA
rnacentral:rRNA from 1 species